rnacentral:rRNA from 1 species
UCUUAGCUUGCUAAGACUGAUGGCGACCGGCGCACGGGUGCGUAACGCGUAUGCAACUUGCCUCACAGAGGGGGAUAACCCGUCGAAAGACGGACUAAUACCGCGUACACUCUAUGUUGGGCAUCCAAUGUAGAGGAAAUGAACUUCGCUGUGAGAUAGGCGUGCGUCCCAUUAGCUAGUUGGUGAGGUAACGGCUCACCAAGGCGACGAUGGGUAGGGGAACUGAGAGGUUGAACCCCCACACUGGUACUGAGACACGGACCAGACUCCUACGGGAGGCAGCAGUGAGGAAUAUUGGUCAAUGGGCGAGAGCCUGAACCAGCCAAGUCGCGUGAAGGAUGACUGUCUUAUGGAUUGUAAACUUCUUUUAUACGGGAAUAACAAGAGUCACGUGUGACUCCCUGCAUGUACCGUAUGAAUAAGCAUCGGCUAACUCUGUGCCAGCAGCCGCGGUAAUACGGAGGAUGCGAGCGUUAUCCGGAUUUAUUGGGUUUAAAGGGUGCGUAGGCGGCCUGUUAAGUCAGCGGUGAAAUCUAGGAGCUUAACUCCUAAAUUGCCAUUGAUACUGGCGGGCUUGAGUGUAGAUGAGGUAGGCGGAAUGCGUGGUGUAGCGGUGGAAUGCAUAGAUAUCACGCAGAACUCCGAUUGCGAAGGCAGCUUACUAAGGUACAACUGACGCUGAAGCACGAAAGCGUGGGUAUCAAACAGGAUUAGAUACCCUGGUAGUCCACGCAGUAAACGAUGAUAACUGGGCGUAUGCGAUAUACAGUAUGCUCCUAAGCGAAAGCGUUAAGU